CCUACGCGUGGCUGCAGUGGGGAAUAUUGCACAAUGGGGGGAACCCUGAUGCCGCGACGCCGCGUGGGUGAAGGAGUACUUCGGUACGUAAAGCCCUAUCAGCCGGAAAGAAAAUGACGGUACCUGACUAAGCAGCCCCGGCUACCUACGUGACAGCAGCCGCGGUAAUACGUAGGGGGCAAGCGUUAUCCGGAUUUACGGGGUGUAAAGGGAGCGGCGACGGCAGUGCAAGUCCGGAGUGAAAGCCCGGGGCUCAAGCCUGGGACUGCUCUGGAAACUGUAAAGCUGGAGUGCGGGAGGGGCAGGCGGAAUUCCUGGUGUAGCGGUGAAAUGCGUAGAGAUCAGGAGGAACACCGGCGGCGAAGGCGGCCUGCUGGACCGUAACUGACGUUGAGGCUCGAAAGCGUGGGGAGCAAACAGGAUUAGAUACCCUGGUAGUC
rnacentral:rRNA from 1 species